GUCCCGCCCUCCUUUGCCUCUGAUUAGUUGGAAGUGCUGGUCUCCAAUUGGUUAUUUCUAAUGGCUGUGGGACAUUAUUGUCAUUCAGGUUAGGGUUAGGGUUAGGUUUGGGGCAAGGGUUAGGGUUAGGUGUGGGGUUAAGGCUAGGGUUGGGGUUGAGCUAGGGUCAGGGCUAGGGUUAGGAUUGGGAUAGGGUUGGGCCUAGGGUUAGGGUUGGGGAUAGGUUUGGGUAAGAGAUACAGUGAUAGCCCCUGCUUUCGUCAGUUGACUUCGCAGUUUGGGGAAGGCUGAUCAAGGGCUUGCACUGGCCGGUGCAUUUCAAUCUGUUACAUGUUCCCAGUCGAGACUCGGAGCUCAAACUGUGUGUAAAAGUUAUGUGUGGGUAGUAAGUUUUAUUACUCAGCUCAAUUGGUAUGCUAUGCUGUCUAUCCUUUAGACUAUGUGUUUGUAGAGAAAUUAUUUUUGGAGGUUCAGUUAGGUAUUAGAGUUGGUAUGGUUAAGGGUUAUACAAGCUAGGCUUAGGGUUAGGGUUGGAGCUAGUGUUAGGGUUAGGGUGGGAGCUAGGGUUAGGGUGUCAGCUAGUGUUAGGGUUAGGGUUGGAGCUAGGGUUAGGGUUAGGGUUAGGGUUGGAGCUAGGGUUAGGGUUAGGGAUAGGGUUGGAGCUAGGGUUAGGGUUAGGGUUGCAGCUAGGGUUAGGGUUAGGGUUAGGGUUGGAGCUAGGGUUAGGGUUAGGGUUGGAGUUAGGUAUGUGCAUUUUGGAGGUGACCCAACCCCUUGGUAACUGUUGAACGGAAGGUUGUAGAGCGCUGAAACUUGCAUGUUGGGGGGUGGAAGAUUUUUCUGAGUCCAAUGAACCAACUCCCGAGUCUCUAGGACGUUCCUAAAAAAAGUUGAUUUUUUCCCAUAGGAAUGCAUGGGGAAAAAAUUUUGGGGGGAGCGGGGAGUCUAUAGAACCUAAUUCUGGGGGGAAGCUUUUUGAAAAGUUUACUUAGGGCUAGGGUUAGGGUUAGGGUUGGAGCUAGGGUUAGGGUUGGAGCUAGGGUUAGGGUUAGGGUUGGAGCUAGGGUUAGGGUUAGGGUUAGGGUUGGAGCUAGGGUUAGGGUUAGGGUUAGGGUAAGGGUUAGGGUUGGAGCUAGGGUUAGGGUUAGGGUUAGGGUUGGAGCUAGGGUUAGGGUUAGGGUUAGGGUUGGAGCUAGGGUUAGGGUUAGGGUUAGGGUUAGGGUUGGAGCUAGGGUUAGGUUUAGGGUUAGGGUUAGGGUUGGAGCUAGGGUUAGGGUUAGGGUUAGGGUUGGAGUUAGGGUUAGUGUUGGAGCUAGGGUUAGGGUUGGGCUUGGAGCUAGGAUUUUUCUGAGUGCAAUGAACCAACUCCCGAGUCUCUAGGACGUUCCUAAAAAAAAUUGAUUUUUUCCCAUAGGAAUGCAUGGGUUAGGGUUAGGGUUAGGGUUGGAGCUAGGGUUAGGGUUAGGGUUAGGGUUGGAGUUAGGGUUAGGGUUGGAGCUAGGGUUAGGGUUGGGCUUGGAGCUAGGAUUUUUCUGAGUGCAAUGAACCAACUCCCGAGUCUCUAGGACGUUCCUAAAAAAAUUUGAUUUUUUCCCAUAGGAAUGCAUGGGGAAAAAAUUUU